CCCUUAGAUGUUCUGGGCUGCACGCGUGUUACAAUCGGGAGUACAACAAGAUUGCAAAUCCUAGUGGAUGAGUGGUUCUCCGAAAUUUUCUGAAGACUGGGAUAGUUGAUUGAAAUUAUUCAACUCAAACGAGGAAUUCCUUGUAAUUGUAAUUCAUUAUAUUGUAAUGAAUACGUCCCUGCCCUUUGUACACACCGCCCGUCGCUCCUACCGAUUGAACGAUCCGGUGAAUUAUUUGGAGUAGCUCUGGAAGUUGCAGAACUUCCUAUGUCACGAAAUUUUGUAAACCUUAUCGUUUAGAGGAAGGAAAAGUCGUAACA
rnacentral:rRNA from 1 species